CGAACGCUGGCGGCAGGCCUAAUACAUGCAAGUCGAACGGCUCUUCGGAGCAGUGGCGGACGGGUGAGUAACGCGUGGGAAUGUGCCCUUAGGUACGGAACAACACAGGGAAACUUGUGCUAAUACCGUAUCUGCCCUUCGGGGGAAAGAUUUAUCGCCUUUGGAGCAGCCCGCGUUGGAUUAGGUAGUUGGUGAGGUAAAGGCUCACCAAGCCGACGAUCCAUAGCUGGUCUGAGAGGAUGACCAGCCACACUGGGACUGAGACACGGCCCAGACUCCUACGGGAGGCAGCAGUAGGGAAUCUUGCGCAAUGGGCGAAAGCCUGACGCAGCCAUGCCGCGUGUAUGAUGAAGGUCUUAGGAUUGUAAAAUACUUUCACCGGGGAAGAUAAUGACGGUACCCGGAAAAGAAGCCCCGGCUAACUUCGUGCCAGCAGCCGCAGUAAAAC
rnacentral:rRNA from 1 species